AGAGUUUGAUCCUGGCUCAGGAUGAACGCUGGCGGCGUGCUUAACACAUGCAAGUCGAACGAACCUUCGGGUUAGUGGCGGACGGGUGAGUAACGCGUGGGAAUCUGCCCUCAGGAGGGGGAUAACGGUUGGAAACGGCCGCUAAUACCCCAUAUGCCGAGAGGUGAAAUGAAUUUCGCCUGAGGAUGAGCCCGCGUCUGAUUAGCUAGUUGGUGAGGUAAGAGCUCACCAAGGCAUCGAUCAGUAGCUGGUCUGAGAGGAUGAUCAGCCACACUGGGACUGAGACACGGCCCAGACUCCUACGGGAGGCAGCAGUGGGGAAUUUUCCGCAAUGGGCGAAAGCCUGACGGAGCAACGCCGCGUGAGGGAUGAAGGCCUCUGGGCUGUAAACCUCUUUUAUCAAGGAAGAAGAUCUGACGGUACUUGAUGAAUAAGCCACGGCUAAUUCCGUGCCAGCAGCCGCGGUAAUACGGGAGUGGCAAGCGUUAUCCGGAAUUAUUGGGCGUAAAGCGUCCGCAGGCGGCCCUACAAGUCUGCUGUUAAAAAGUGGAGCUUAACUCCAUCAUGGCAGUGGAAACUGUUGGGCUUGAGUGUGGUAGGGGCAGAGGGAAUUCCCGGUGUAGCGGUGAAAUGCGUAGAUAUCGGGAAGAACACCAGUGGCGAAGGCGCUCUGCUGGGCCAUCACUGACGCUCAUGGGCGAAAGCCAGGGGAGCGAAAGGGAUUAGAUACCCCUGUAGUCCUGGCCGUAAACGAUGAACACUAGGUGUCGGGGGAAUCGACCCCUCCGGUGUCGUAGCCAACGCGUUAAGUGUUCCGCCUGGGGAGUACGCACGCAAGUGUGAAACUCAAAGGAAUUGACGGGGGCCCGCACAAGCGGUGGAGUAUGUGGUUUAAUUCGAUGCAACGCGAAGAACCUUACCAGGGUUUGACAUCCUGCGAAUCUCUUGGAAACUUGAGAGUGCCUUCGGGAGCGCAGUGACAGGUGGUGCAUGGCUGUCGUCAGCUCGUGUCGUGAGAUGUUGGGUUAAGUCCCGCAACGAGCGCAACCCACGUCUUUAGUUGCCAGCAUUUAGUUGGGCACUCUAGAGAGACCGCCGGUGAUAAACCGGAGGAAGGUGUGGAUGACGUCAAGUCAUCAUGCCCCUUACAUCCUGGGCUACACACGUACUACAAUGCUACGGACAAAGGGCAGCAAGUUCGCGAGGACAAGCAAAUCCCAUAAACCGUGGCUCAGUUCAGAUCGUAGGCUGCAACUCGCCUACGUGAAGGAGGAAUCGCUAGUAAUCGCAGGUCAGCAUACUGCGGUGAAUACGUUCCCGGGCCUUGUACACACCGCCCGUCACACCAUGGAAGUUGGCCACGCCCGAAGCCGUUACUCCAACCCUUGUGGAGGAGGACGUCGAAGGUGGGGCUGAUGACUGGGGUGAAGUCGUAACAAGGUAACC
rnacentral:rRNA from 1 species